rnacentral:pre_miRNA from 1 species
AUAGUACUCUCUCUGUCCCAAAAUUCUUGUCUUAUAUUUGUCUAAAUACGGAUGUGUCUAGUUACGUUUUAGUGUUAGAUACAUCCGUAACUAACAAAUCUAAGACAAGAAUUUUAGGAAAGAAUUUU